rnacentral:rRNA from 1 species
GACGAACGCUGGCGGCGUGCUUAACACAUGCAAGUCGAGCGGUAAGGCCCUUUCGGGGGUACACGAGCGGCGAACGGGUGAGUAACACGUGGGUGACCUGCCCUUAGCUCUGGGAUAAGCCUGGGAAACUGGGUCUAAUACCGGAUAUGACUCCAUGACGCAUGUUGUGGGGUGAAAGCCUUGUGCGGCUAGGGAUGGGCCCGCGGCCUAUCAGCUUGUUGGUGGGGUGAUGGCCUACCAAGGCGACGACGGGUAGCCGGCCUGAGAGGGCGACCGGCCACACUGGGACUGAGACACGGCCCAGACUCCUACGGGAGGCAGCAGUGGGGAAUCUUGCGCAAUGGGCGAAAGCCUGACGCAGCGACGCCGCGUGGGGAUGACGGCCU